UACGGAGGGUGCAAACGUUGCUCGGAAUCAUUGGGCGUAAAGCGCGCGUAGGCGGUUACUCAAGUCGGAUGUGAAAGCCCUCGGCUUAACUGAGGAAGUGCACCCGAAACUGAGUAGCUAGAGUACUAAAGAGGGUCGCGGAAUUCCCGGUGUAGAGGUGAAAUUCGUAGAUAUCGGGAGGAACACCGGUGGCGAAGGCGGCGACCUGGGUAGAUACUGACGCUGAGGCGCGAAAGCGUGGGGAGCAAACAGG
rnacentral:rRNA from 1 species